rnacentral:ncRNA from 1 species
GACCAGAUGUUUUUUAUGACUGACAGGCUUCGGGUCUUUCAGGAUAUUGUUUUUGGUGGUGCAUGGCCGUUGGUGGUGCGUGGGUUGACCUGUCUAGCGUUGAUUCAGCUAACGAGCGAGAUUAUCGCCAAUUAUUUACUUUGCCGAAGUCCUUCGGUUAAAGUUCUAAUUGGGACUCCCUGCGAUUUUAGCAGGUGGAAGAGGGUAGCAAUAACAGGUCCGUGAUGCCCUUUAGAUGCUCUGGGCUGCACGCGUGCUACAAUGUUAGGAUCAAUAGGACUGCGAGCCUGAGAGGGUGCGCUACUCUUAUAAUCCCUAACGUAGUUGGGAUUGACGUUUGUAAUCAGCGUCAUGAACCAGGAAUCCCUUGUAAAUGUGUGUCAACAACGCACGUUGAAUACGUCCCUGCCCUUUGUACACACCGCCCGUCGCUCCUACCGAUUGGAUGACUCGGUGAAAUCACCGGAUGCUUACGAGCAGAAAGUGAUUAAAUCACGUUAUCUAGAGGAAGGAGAAGUCGUAACAAGGUAACGGUAGGUGAACCUGCCGUUGGAUCAGUU